UAUAUUCAUAUAUAGGUCUUAUUUUAAUCCAAAUUUUUCCUUUUAUUCCUCCUAACCCUAGCUGUCGUCAUUAGCUCUUAAUCGCUGUUAAUCUUUGAACAAAUCAUCAUCAAACUCUUGUGUUCAAUCGCGUAAUAUUUGGAUCCGUUUCGUCCUAGUUGAAGUAGACUCGCGCUUCUACGAUUCCCAACCUUGUUUUCGCUAAAUGACUCGUCGACUACUCGUGCUUCGGAGUCGAAUCAGGUUUUGUCGCUUGCCAGGUUUUCACAUGGAUUAGCAAGCAGUGAGUUUGUAGUGCUAUUUACCGCUUUAUUAAGUACCAAAAUUUAUUUUUAGUAUUAUAAAUGUAUUGAAUUUUUUUAAGCGAUUAUGGAUCUGGAUUGAAACGAGCUACUCGAUAGGCUUGUAUCGAGACUGUGUGCACCGGUAUAUACUCUGGGAUCUGCAGACUAUGGUUUUGCUUACGCUGGUAAUUUGACAAGGAAUUGUUCCCGUCCACUUUGGGUUUAUUUUCGGUAUGAUAUGUCAUACUCACGCUGGGAUCAUUUCAAAACUGUAUUUCUAUAAUCAUAUUAUAUUAGUAUAAAAUGUUUUGAUUUAA